rnacentral:rRNA from 1 species
GGGGGAUAACUACUGGAAACGGUAGCUAAUACCGCAUAAUGUCGCAAGACCAAAGAGGGGGACCUUCGGGCCUCUUGCCAUCGGAUGUGCCCAGAUGGGAUUAGCUUGUAGGUGAGGUAACGGCUCACCUAGGCGACGAUCCCUAGCUGGUCUGAGAGGAUGACCAGCCACACUGGAACUGAGACACGGUCCAGACUCCUACGGGAGGCAGCAGUGGGGAAUAUUGCACAAUGGGCGCAAGCCUGAUGCAGCCAUGCCGCGUGUAUGAAGAAGGCCUUCGGGUUGUAAAGUACUUUCAGCGGGGAGGAAGGGAGUGAGGUUAAUAACCUUAUUCAUUGACGUUACCCGCAGAAGAAGCACCGGCUAACUCCGUGCCAGCAGCCGCGGUAAUACGGAGGGUGCAAGCGUUAAUCGGAAUUACUGGGCGUAAAGCGCACGCAGGCGGUCUGUCAAGUCGGAUGUGAAAUCCCCGGGCUCAACCUGGGAACUGCAUUCGAAACUGGCAGGCUGGAGUCUUGUAGAGGGGGGUAGAAUUCCAGGUGUAGCGGUGAAAUGCGUAGAGAUCUGGAGGAAUACCGGUGGCGAAGGCGGCCCCCUGGACAAAGACUGACGCUCAGGUGCGAAAGCGUGGGGAGCAAACGGGAUUAGAUACCCUGGUAGUCCACGCUGUAAACGAUGUCGACUUGGAGGUUGUUCCCUUGAGGAGUGGCUUCCGGAGCUAACG